UACGGGGGGGGGCAAGCGUUGUUCGGAAUUACUGGGCGUAAAGGGCUCGUAGGUGGCCAACUAAGUCAGACGUGAAAUCCCCAGGCUCAACUUGGGAACUGCGUCUGAUACUGGAUGGCUUGAAUUCGGGAGAGGGAUGCAGAAUUCCAGGUGUAGCGGUGAAAUGCGUAGAUAUCUGGAGGAAUACCGGUGGCGAAGGCGGCAUCCUGGACCGAGAUUGACACUGAUGAGCGAAAGCUAGGGGAGCAAACGGG
rnacentral:rRNA from 1 species